rnacentral:rRNA from 1 species
CCUACGGGAUGCAGCAGUGAGGAAUAUUGGUCAAUGGUCGCGAGACUGAACCAGCCAAGUAGCGUGAGGGUUGAAUGCCCUACGUAUUGUAAACUUCUUUUAUCACGGAAUAACGUGUGGCACGUGUCCCUUUUUGUGUGUAUUUUAUGAAUAAGUAUCGGCUAACUCCGUGCCAUCAGCCGCGGUAAUACGGAGGAUCCGAGCGUUAUCCGGAUUUAUUGGGUUUAAAGGGAGCGUAGAUGGGUUGUUAAGUCAGUGGUGAAAGUUUUGGGCUCAACCGUAAAAUUGCAAUUGAUACUGGCAGUCUCGAGUACAGGUGAGGUAUGCGGAAGUCGUGGUGUAGCGGUGAAAUGCUUAGAUAUCACGAAGAACUCCGAUUGCGAAGGCAGCAUACUAACCUGCCACUGACAUUGAUGCUCGAAAGUGUGGGUAUCAAACAGGAUUAGAUACCCGUGUAGUC